CCUUGUUCUUUAAAUCAGGACUAGUAUGAACGGCACCACGAGGGUUAUACUGUCUCCUUUUUCUAAUCAGUGAAACUAAUCUCCCCGUGAAGAAGCGGGGAUAUAACUAUAAGACGAGAAGACCCUAUGGAGCUUCAAAUUUUUAUUUCAACUGCUGCACUCAUAUAAAAGUUCCGACUUCUCACAUUUCACUUAGCAUUAUGACAAUAAAUUUUAGGUUGGGGUGACCGCGGAGAAUAAAAAAACCUCCGCAUUGAAUUAGACUUACUAAGUCUUGAGCCAAGAGCUACGACUCUACGUACUAAAACACUAACAUCCAUUGACCCAAUUACUUGAUCAACGAACCAAGUUACCCUAGGGAUAACAGCGCAAUCCACUUCAAGAGCCCCUAUCAACAAGUGGGUUUACG
rnacentral:rRNA from 1 species